rnacentral:lncRNA from 1 species
UCUCUCAGGUCAGUUCUUGGCCACUAUCAGACACCACCUUCCUCCCAGAAUUCCUAACUUCACUUGGAAGGAUCCGGCCUUUAUAGUUUAAUUGACCUAGUUAGGUGGAACCUUGCCACCUUUCCCUCUUCUUGCCUUUAAAAAUGUCGAAGAUCUUGGAUUGAUCUUGUGCAAUGUCCCUGUCUUCUUUCGAUGAUUUGAG